CAUUGACAAUGCUGACCUAAGAUGCAAAAUGUUUGUCCUCUCUCUCUUCAGCGUUCCCACAUCUCAGAUCUCAAAUACAUAAAAUAUUACCCCUUUAUACAUAGUUUUUGAAGUAAAGAGUAA